rnacentral:piRNA from 1 species
UGGCUACCUUAUUGAUGAAGACAGAUAUUCU